rnacentral:rRNA from 1 species
CACGUAGGGGGCAAGCGUUGUCCGGAUUUAUUGGGCGUAAAGAGCUCGUAGGCGGCUCAGUAAGUCGGGUGUGAAACCUCCAGGCUCAACCUGGAGACGCCACCCGAUACUGCUGUGGCUUGAGUCCGGUAGGGGAGCGUGGAAUUCCUGGUGUAGCGGUGAAAUGCGCAGAUAUCAGGAGGAACACCGGAGGCGAAGGCGGCUUGCUGGGCGUGAUCUGACGCUGAGGCGCGAAAGCGUGGGGAGCGAACAGG